GACGAACGCUGGCGGCGGGCCUAAUACAUGCAAGUCGAACGCAGUUACGAACGGGUGAGUAAAACGUAGGUAACUGCCUCAUAGCAGGGGAUAACUAAUGGAAACCAGAGCUAAUAACGCAUCCUGUGAGCUGGACCUGCGUUGUAUUAGCUAGGUGGUUAGGUAAAGGCUCACCAAGGCGACGAUCCAUAGCCGACCUGAGAGGGUGAACGAGCAAACGGGUAACGAGACACGGGCCAGGAUCCCACGGGAGGCAGCAGUAGGGAAUUAUCGGAAAUGGACGGAAGGCUUGAUGAGCACAGCCGGGGGAGUGAAGAAGGUUUUCGGAUCGUAAAGCUCUGUUGUGAGAGAAGCGGUAACUACAGAGAAAGGGACGGCUAACUCCGUGCCAGCCGCCGCGGUAAUAC
rnacentral:rRNA from 1 species